ensembl:lncRNA LINC00877 long intergenic non-protein coding RNA 877
CUUCAUGCAUCUGUUGUGGGUGAAGAGAGCAAAGAUUCUUCAUUCAAUCAAAGGCCCCCUUUGGAGAUGCUGAGAAGGAAAUUUCCUUUGGAAAUUCCCAAAGCCUCUGUUCAGAUGUCACAUUCUGCAUACAAUGGCACCUCCUAACAGAAGAAAUGAUGGCAUGGGCAUGCAAUCUGCAAAAUCCAUACCACAGGAUAUUCUAGGGGACAAAUGACCUGGCCAUUUCAACAAAAACCUGCAAGAAACAAAAACGAAGAAAGGAAAUGGGCAGAUGAGAGUGGAGGUUGUAAAUCACCCUCCAUGCAAUGGUUCAUCAUAAAGGAUAUGGAGCAAAAUUAGAGGAGGCACGAGAAGGAAAGCCGGUGAUGAACAAGGAAAGUGCCUGGUUGAAGCUAGCUUGCAAUCCCAAAGUCAGAAGGUUGCCUGGGAAGCCAUGAAACAAAGCCAAAUCAAGGCAAAGCAGACACAUGGAGAUUUUGAGACUGAGAAGAGGAAAACUGAGGACAUUCAUGUGAGAUGGUUUCAAGUUUCCCUUAGAAGGAGAAGUUAUCUUCAGAAGGUCAGGUUGGUGAGGUGGGAGUUCAAAAACAACAAAGUAUGUAGCUACCAUUGUGAGGAAGACCAUGGAAAAUGGACGAAUCAGAAUGAAAGGCUUUCUGAACAAGAGGGAGUUUCCCUGCACAAGCUCCCUCCUGCCUGCUGCCAUGUGAGACCUGCGUUUUGCCUUCCACCAUGACUGUGAGGCCUCUUCCCCGGCCAUGUGGAACUCCCAGAGACAGAAGCAGAUAAUGCAAGUGUCAUCUACAUCUGGCAAAAGCCAAAGGUUUGGAAGAUGGAAAAAGGAAUCCAGGCAAAAAGGAGCCCAAGAUUGAAGUGAAUGACCAGGUGCACCAGUUCAAAUGCAAUCAGGAGGGACAGGGGUAGAGGGAGAAGCCUAGAGCAGCGCUUCUCAAACUGACUAUUCAAGUCACCUGGAGAUCUUGGUGAAAUGCAGACUCUGGUGCAGUAGGUCCUGGCGGGAACUUGAAAUUCUGCAUUUUGACCAAGGUCCAAGGUGAAUGUCCAGUGCUGUUGUCCUUGGCCUGCAGCAGGAGGAGCAGGGAUCUAAGACUUGGAGAGCAAAUGUCAAGCUCAGAAGAAAGACUGGAAGUUUGGGGACAAAACCCAAAUAUGGCUAAAGAAAGCCUGUAGGAUGAAGUUGGAAGUUCCAGAGCCUUCUCUUCACAUAAUGGGACAUGCAAGGGGGAAACCAAAUCAAAAGUGUAGAAUGCGUCGCUGGAUGUCUUUGACAUGUUAUUGUUCUGAUAGAAUAUCAGCGGGGAGCUACUGAGGACCUCCUCACUACCCUCCCUUGGAAGAGUUUGUCUGCAAUGGAGCCAACACAGUGGAAAGCAGAGCUGAGAAAUGGACAAACAACUCCUGAUGCCUCAUUUGAGCACCUGGAUUUAGCCAUGUCUGAAGCUAUUAUAUCCUUGAACUUUUGAAUCAUGUAGGUUACCAUAAUUCCUUUUUUGUUAAAGCUAAUUUGAGUUGGGUUUCUAUCACUUGCAAUCAACAAUUGACCAGGUGCUUAGUACAUAAUGAAUGAGUGAAUGAACAAAUUCAAUUCUGUAAGUAUUUAUCAUCUCCUUACACGGCAGGCACUGUUUUAAGUCCCAAAGAAAGAGGCAGAGGAGCGACAGAGAUGACUUCCUCCCUUGAAAACGAAGCAUGUGGCCUGACAACCUAAAAUUGGGGUCAAUCCAUCCAAUUAUGGUGACUGCUUAGAAAUAUCCCUUUUCCUCCCAACGUUUUCCUUUCCUUCUCCCAUAAACAUAAUAAUGUCUCCUGCCAGUACUAAGGCAUGGCCCAUGGACCCACUAACACCUAUGCUCACGUUAGCUCUUGAGGCCGAGUGGCUUGGUUCUAUCUGGUUAUCAGAUGCAAACUUCAUCACAGCAGGGAUUUGGGCUAGACAUUAGAGGAAUAGUGUGGUACCAGAUGGUGUUUCUGAAGAAGGUUGUCCUAUUUUUGCAGUUUAAGGAUUUGAUAAUAAAUCUGCCUGGCAGCCCUCA